UGUUGAUGUAAACAUAUACGCUGUUCAUAUAUUAGAACAAACAAAACCGGUACCUGUCGUUUUCAGCAUCGGCGGAGCCAGGCCAAGUUUGCGGUUGCGGGUUGUACCUGCUCGUGUGUAAUGACCACGAACCCGUCUUACUUUUGGUUCAGGUCAAAUUGUGAAGAGUUCACGCGACCUACGUCUGGUGUUUAUCGCCUUUUAUGUCCGCCAAUAGUUUAAUAGGAGAGAACGAAUGUUAACUGGGCCAGAUUUAUAAAACGAAGGUCACGAAUUUACGAGUUCAUUUAGACUCAAAACGAGAAAGUUCACUGCAAUGUAGACUGAACCGCGAGACUUUUGGUUUGGGAUCAGUUUUUUGAUCAGAGAGUCCUUCGUAUCGAAAAGAAGUAUCAUUUAAAACUUGGAUUUAUUUCCGGAAUGGAUGUGGUUCAACCGUAUCCACUCGUUACAUGUCUCUAGUGCUGCUUCUUUUGCACAAGACAACUAACUGGAAUUGCUUCAACCGUUAUCAGCCACAGAAAGAAAAAUAUUCAACUAAAGAAAUCGCACCUGACAACUCGUAAGCGGGCAGAACGAAAUAAGACACCCAUGUUAUAACUUCUGAAGUUGGCCUGCUACGUGGAAAUGAAAAAAAAUCAUUCAAUUAUAAAAAAAUGCAUCGAAUUGCAAAUGAAACAACAAGAAAAUGUAUUUUCAUAUCAGAAACAAUAAACAAUGAGUAACAUUAAUAUGUUCGAUAUUUCCAGCAACAAAUUAAACUGCCAAGUGUAAUGUUAAUAAUAGCUUCUCCUUUGCUGUCGUACAUUGUUAGUAUUUUGUAAUAGGAUUGGAAUACAAAAAUAC